CCUCUUAUCCCAGUGGAGCUGAUGUCCUGAGCUGGAAUCGGCAAGUGGCCUGGGGACAAAAUGGUGCCCCAUCAUCAGCCUCCCCAGUGAAGGGCUCUCUGUCCUCUGCACGG
rnacentral:ncRNA from 2 species